AGAUAGAUAGAUAGAUAGAUAGAUAGAUAGAUAGAUAGAUAGAUAGAUAGAUAGACAGAUAGUAGAUAGAUAGAUAGACAGACAGACAGAUAGACCGACAUACAGAUAGAUAGAUAGAUAGAUAGAUAGAUAGAUAGAUAGAUAGAUAGAUAGACAGACAGAUAGAUAGACAGAUAGAUAGAUAGAUAGAUAGAUAGAUAGACAGACAGAUAGAUAGAUAGAUAGAUAGAUAGAUAGAUAGAUAGAUAGAUAGUAGACAGAUAGAUAGAUAGAGAGACAGAUAGAUUGAUAGUUAGAUAGAUAGAUAGAUAGAUAGUUAGAUAGAUAGACAGAUAGUUAGAUAUCUGUCUAUCUAUAACUAACAACUGAAAAGCAAAGACAAACGGCGGUGUGGGAAGAACAUCCAUGAUGUAAUCCGUGCCUGUAGCUGGCCAGCAGGGUUUCCUCUAUUUACAGUUCUAUAGAACUAUGCAUGGUCUCUCGAAAGCUUAAUGCAUUUACUCACAAAGAUUUAACUUCUGUAGUCAUGUGUAGUACUUUACAGCAACAUCGAUUAUGUAAUUCAUUUAUCUGUCUGUUGCACUACAGAUCUAACAGAAUGGCCAACUGUCUCAUUGUCAUCAUGAAAACAUUGUAUGUGCCAGGACCAUGAAUCAACUUUAACAACGCUUUAAAGCAGAAGUUUAAUCACUAUAUUCAAAAUGCUAUAAAAAAAAAACAAACAAACAAAAAAACACUGCUCUAAUAAAAACUCUGCUCUAAUAAAAAACAGUUACUACAGUUACUUUAGUUUCUAAAUAUCGCUAAAUAUAGCAUCAAACAACAUAUUGAAUGAAAAUGAAUAUUUUACUCAGAGUUAUUGUGCUUCGUUUCUAUUGCGUGCUGUUUGAAUGUUGCGUAUGCGUGGACUCGCGCUUGUUCAGUGAAGUUUAACGGAGACUCACUUGCUGUCAGGACGAGGCUUUAUGUAAAAUGGAAAUACAGGCGUGAAUUUCUAACAUUUACAGAUAUGGAUAUAAAGGUAAAAAUGUCAUUUCUGCGCUGAAGAAAACAUGUCUGGAACACAUUAAACAGCACACGCAUCUGUCGCAGCAUCUGACCCGACAAGCCACGUUAAUACACUUACGAGUUUGUUUGAAGCGCUUAAUAUAAAACAUUCUCAUGUUUUGGACAAUCUGGAUCAUGCACUUUUCCCGCAGCAGCACCUCACUCUGUAACCUCCGCUGUUUCUCAGAUGAGUUUUAUUCAUAGAAAUGCAUUUUUCACCAUCGUGAAGUGAAAGACCCAACUAAUCCAUAAUGACAUUCGUUGUCGAUUAUUUUAAUUAUUGAUUAUUAUCGAUUAGUUUUUGCUGCCCUAAAAUUUUCAGCAGAAUAUUUAGAAUUAAUAGCCAUGCUAAAGAUUAUUGGGAUCUGGUAUACAGGAGAAUGUUGCCAUGCAACUGUAGGAUUGUUCAAUAAAGUCUUUAUAGAGUGGUACACACACAACACACACACACAGUACAAUUAUCACGCCAUAUUCAGGCACCACCUGAGAGCCUUUCCACGCAUUUUUAUUCUUCUUCAGCAGAAUCCCUCAAUCAUAUGUGUGUGUUCAGAGUCCUGAAAGCCCCGAGGGCUGGUGAAGAGAGGGAGAAAAAGAGGCAGAGGGGAAGACAGUGGGUUGGGUUAUGGGUGAGAAGGGCCAGAUGAAUGUUGGAUGGCACAUUAUGGAUGACUUGAUUUAGCGUUUAUUAAAUGUGCACAUCCCUGGGCAAUAACCCCCCACUUUCUCUCUCUCUCUCUCUCUCUAAUACUCAAAAAGAAAAGAAAAAAAGGGAAGAUAAAAAAAGAAGCAUGGGAGAUACAUGCAAUCUCCGCACACACAGGGCGGAGGUGGGAUUCAAACCCCCAACCCCCGCCCGAGGUAUGAGGCAAACGUGCUAACAGAUUUAGCCCAGAUUUAAGGUAGUAAAAGCCUGCUAACAAAUGUAACCUUUAUGUUAUCAAUCAGCAGUGUUCUUAGUGCUCUAUACUGACACAUAGCAGCUUGAGUGUAGCACAUCCUCAAUGUGGAGACAAAAUUGAUUGUGAUCUGAUGCUGUACAUCAAUAACUGACAUGGUUGUUGUUAUAGCCAGUUGAGACAAUACUCCUGAUGCACGGGAGUUACCAAAGAGGCUGUCAUUUUCUUUCUAUGUAACUACAUAAUCAAAAAAGAGCUGUCCAACCUUGAUUCCUCCCAAAAGCAUUCCCAAAAGCAAGGUAAGAUCAUCUUAACUGGGAGAGAGAGUGUCCGAUGUGAUGCUCCAGUGUGAUUCUGUCAUUCAACAAUGAUCUUUGAGACUCGACCCUGUUCUGUUUCUAAAACAUGUGUCCCAUGUGUCACACUUAACAAAAAUGUGACUUUUAUUUUAACCCAUGUUUCAAUUUACACAAAUUAUGUAUUUAUGUAAAUGUGAGCCCUCAUGUCCUGCUGUUUUCUUUAGUUGCUGUCCACAUGUUUUUUUUUUAAAAUCCUAUCUCUAACUCAAGCAAAUGCACCGUAAAAGUACAUAUAACCCUGAUUUGCCUUGCAGCCAGAAAUAUGCUGUUAUAGAAAUCUAAUCAACAACUUCUGACCAAUCAGAAUUGAGAAUUCAAC
ensembl:lncRNA